GACGAACGCUGGCGGCGUGCUUAACACAUGCAAGUCGAACGGAAAGGCCCUGCUUUUGUGGGGUGCUCGAGUGGCGAACGGGUGAGUAACACGUGAGUAACCUGCCCUUGACUUUGGGAUAACUUCAGGAAACUGGGGCUAAUACCGGAUAGGAGCUCCUGCUGCAUGGUGGGUGUUGGAAAGUUUCGGCGGUUGGGUAUGGUCUCGCGGCUUCUCAGCUUGUUUGUGGGGUAGUGGCUUACCAAGGGUUUGACGGGUAGCCGGCCUGAGAGGGUGACCGGGCAAAUGGGGACUGAGAGACGGCACAGACUACAACGGGAGGCAGCAGUGGGGAAUAUUGCAGAAUGGGCGGAAGCAUGAUGCAGCAACGCAGCGAGCGGGAUGAAGGCCUUCGGGUUGUAAACAGAUUUAGAAUGUGACGAAGAGUGAGUGACGGUAAUGGGUAAAGAAGCACCGGCUAACUACGUG
rnacentral:rRNA from 1 species